rnacentral:rRNA from 1 species
GAUGAACGCUGGCGGCGUGCCUAAUACAUGCAAGUCGAGCGAACAGACGAGGAGCUUGCUCCUCUGACGUUAGCGGCGGACGGGUGAGUAACACGUGGAUAACCUACCUAUAAGACUGGGAUAACUUCGGGGAACCGGAGCUAAUACCGGAUAAUAUAUUGAACCGCAUGGUUCAAUAGUGAAAGGCGGUUUUGCUGUCACUUAUAGAUGGAUCCGCGCCGCAUUAGCUAGUUGGUAAGGUAACGGCUUACCAAGGCAACGAUGCGUAGCCGACCUGAGAGGGUGAUCGGCCACACUGGAACUGAGACACGGUCCAGACUCCUACGGGAGGCAGCAGUAGGGAAUCUUCCGCAAUGGGCGAAAGCCUGACGGAGCAACGCCGCGUGAGUGAUGAAGGUCUUCGGAUCGUAAAACUCUGUUAUUAGGGAAGAACAAAUGUGUAAGUAACUAUGCACGUCUUGACGGUACCUAAUCAGAAAGCCACGGCUAACUACGUG